rnacentral:rRNA from 1 species
GAUGAACGCUGGCGGCGUGCCUAAUACAUGCAAGUCGAGCGAACAGACGAGGAGCUUGCUCCUCUGACGUUAGCGGCGGACGGGUGAGUAACACGUGGAUAACCUACCUAUAAGACUGGGAUAACUUCGGGAAACCGGAGCUAAUACCGGAUAAUAUAUUGAACCGCAUGGUUCAAUAGUGAAAGACGGUUUUGCUGUCACUUAUAGAUGGAUCCGCGCCGCAUUAGCUAGUUGGUAAGGUAACGGCUUACCAAGGCAACGAUGCGUAGCCGACCUGAGAGGGUGAUAGGCCACACUGGAACUGAGACACGGUCAAGACUCCUACGGGAGGCAGCAGUAGGGAAUCUUACGCAAUGGGCGAAAGCUUGACGGAGCAACGCCGCGUGAGUGAUGAAGGUCUUCGGAUCGUAAAACUCUGUUAUUAGGGAAGAACAAAUGUGUAAGUAACUAUGCACGUCUUGACGGUACCUAAUCAGAAAGCCACGGCUAACUACGUG